rnacentral:rRNA from 1 species
AUUGAACGCUGGCGGCAUGCCUUACACAUGCAAGUCGAACGGCAGCACGGGCUUCGGUCUGGUGGCGAGUGGCAAACGGGUGAGUAAAGCAUCGGAACGUACCCGGAAGUGGGGGAUAACGUAGCGAAAGUUACGCUAAUACCGCAUAUUCUGUGCGCAGGAAAGAGGGGGAUCUUCGGACCUCUUGCUUUCGGAGCGGCCGAUGUCAGAUUAGCUAGUUGGUGGGGUAAAGGCCUACCAAGGCGACGAUCUGUAGCGGGUCUGAGAGGAUGAUCCGCCACACGGGGACUGAGACACGGCCCAGACUCCUACGGGAGGCAGCAGUGGGGAAUUUUGGACAAUGGGCGCAAGCCUGAUCCAGCCAUGCCGCGUGAGUGAAGAAGGCCUUCGGGUUGUAAGGCUCUUUCGGCCGGGAAGAAAUCGCACCAGUUAAUACCUGGUGUGGAUGACGGUACCGGAAUAAGAAGCACCGGCUAACUACGUGCCAGCCGCCGCCGUAAAAC